UACGAAGGGGGCGAGCGUUGUUCGGAAUUACUGGGCGUAAAGGGCGCGUAGGCGGCGACCCAAGUCAGAUGUGAAAGUCCUGGGCUUAACCUGGGGACUGCAUUUGAUACUGGGUUGCUUGAAUGCAAGAGAGGAUAGCGGAAUUCCCAGUGUAGAGGUGAAAUUCGUAGAUAUUGGGAAGAACACCGGUGGCGAAGGCGGCUAUCUGGACUGUGAUUGACGCUGAGGCGCGAAAGCGUGGGGAGCAAACAGG
rnacentral:rRNA from 1 species